AAUAGGCUUACUUUUCUCAAUAGUCAACAUUUUGACCGGCUUUACCUUUAGGAAUUGCGUAACUUCUGAAAAUUGUACUCAUGGAAAUAUAUUAAUUCCAUUUCGAAAUUGUCGGAACAGUCGUACAUUGACCCCGUUGAUUAUAAACUUUCCAGUGCGAAAUGAAUUUUCAAAGCCUCCAAAAAUAAUAGUACUCAAUUCCGGGUCUUCUAAUCCCAAUUAAAUUCUUCCUGAAGCUUUUGCAGCCCUCAAACAUUGAAGUUCGCACGCGAAUCUUCACUUGCUAAAAAGUUUUUACUGGCGGGAUCUUCGUUACUUCUUUAAACUUUUUAUAUAAAUAUUUUUUUUUUGCUACUAAUUGAGUUAUAA